rnacentral:rRNA from 1 species
AUGCUGAGGUUCGAUGACGAGUCACUACGGUGAUGAAGUAGCUCAUGCCCCGCUUCCAGGAAAAGCCUCUAAGCUCUAGAUUAUCAUUAAUCGUACCCCAAACCGACACAGGUGGUCAGGUAGAGAAUACUCAGGCGCUUGAGAGAACUCGGGUGAAGGAACUAGGCAAAAUGGUGCCGUAACUUCGGGAGAAGGCACGCUGGCGCUAGGUGAAGUCCCUUGCGGAUGGAGCUGAAGCCAGUCGCAGAUACCAGCUGGCUGCAACUGUUUAUUAAAAACACAGCACUGUGCAAACACGAAAGUGGACGUAUACGGUGUGACGCCUGCCCGGUGCUGGAAGGUUAAUUGAUGGGGUUAUCCGUAAGGAGAAGCUCUUGAUCGAAGCCCCAGUAAACGGCGGCCGUAACUAUAACGGUCCUAAGGUAGCGAAAUUCCUUGUCGGGUAAGUUCCGACCUGCACGAAUGGCGUAAUGAUGGCCAGGCUGUCUCCACCCGAGACUCAGUGAAAUUGAACUCGCUGUGAAGAUGCAGUGUACCCGCGGCAAGACGGAAAGACCCCGUGAACCUUUACUAUAGCUUGACACUGAACAUUGAGCCUUGAUGUGUAGGAUAGGUGGGAGGCUUCGAAGCGUGGACGCCAGUCUGCGUGGAGCCAACCUUGAAAUACCACCCUUUAAUGUUUGAUGUUCUAACGUUGCCCC